GCCAGUGUGGCGUAUUGGUUUGGGUGUUAGACUGUGUCUCUGGAGACCAGGGUUCAAAUCCCCACUCAGCCA